AUUGAACGCUGGCGGCAGGCCUAACACAUGCAAGUCGAACGAGUGGCGGACGGGUGAGUAAUGUCUGGGAAACUGCCUGAUGGAGGGGGAUAACUACUGGAAACGGUAGCUAAUACCGCAUACCAUCGGAUGUGCCCAGAUGGGAUUAGCUAGUCGGUGGGGUAAAGGCUCACCUAGGCGACGAUCCCUAGCUGGUCUGAGAGGAAGACCAGCCAAAAUGGAACUGAGACACGGUCCAGACUCCGACGGGAGGCAGGAGUGGGGAAUAGUGCACAAUGGGCGCAAGCCUGAUGCAGCCAUGCCGCGUGUAUGAAGAAGGCCUUCGGGUUGUAAAGUACUUUCAGCGGGGAGGCGUGACCCGCAGAAGAAGCCCCGGCUAAAUCCGUGCCAGCAGCCGCGGUAAUAU
rnacentral:rRNA from 1 species